CUGCUGUUGGAGGCCGGCCAGGCCCAGGAGGCCUUCGAGGCCGCCAGCCGCGGUCUGCAACCGCCCCAGGCUCCGGCCCUGGGCAGCAGCC
rnacentral:tRNA from 1 species